CCAAAAUGGGGAAUUAGCACAGU
rnacentral:piRNA from 1 species